UUGGACACUUUGAGUCAUGGUGGGCCAACACCAGUCCUUCAAAGGACUUCAUCACUACAGGGCGACAGCGGUGUGUUUGAAGCCUGGAGGGACUGUCACACAGCUCUAGUGAUCUGAUCAAACAUCAUCUCCACC